rnacentral:lncRNA from 1 species
GUCCUAUAAUCUUCGGUGCCUUAAAGACUUCCUAAUGUGUUUCACCAUCCAAAAGUAUCACCCGAGGACCCAUCUUCUAAUAUAUGUCCUUUUGGGUACACAUCUAAAUUAUAGCAUCUAGAACUAUACCAACAGUGUGACUUUCUUAAGGAUGAUGCUGUACAAAUGAAGCUAGUUACACAACAGGCUAUGUUUAAUAAUUUAAUUUCUAUUAAUUUCAAGAACUGGCAAAAUCAUUUUAGCCUUUAGAAAGAAGUGUUUAUUUUUAAAGCAUAGCAAUGAGUAAGCCAGUAAUCUUCUGUAUAUAUGAGUAUUUCUCUUGUUUAAAAAAUGACCAUGAGUGACUUACAAUUUAGAAUAAGAGACACAUAAGCAGACAAACUAGUGUGAACAUAUGCAAGGGAGAAAGUGGGAGAACAUAGCAUGGUGAAUGCCUGUGAGAAGACAAAACAAACUAAAACAACAAUAAAAGACAGUCUAAAAACCAUACCCUUGCCUGGUAUGUCACAGUAUAUGUAAAAUGUCCAGUGAUUGACAGCUCUGGGUUUCCUCCAAGAGUUGUCUUGCCUGCCUGUAACUGAAGGUCCUUGUCCAAAAGGAGAUAUAUCUCUAGUGUAGAAGAGUGUGUUCUACUCCAUUGACUCUUGUGAUUCUUCAUUGACAUGCAUGUCUGUGGUGCUAUUUCUAUAUUGUUGCUUUAAGAUCCAUGAGACUUCUGCCCUCACUGAUUCUCUUAGCAUCUGUUCUCCUUUUCAUUUCCUCUGACCUGACGGAGGUAAAUUCUCUCAGCACAUAUCUCAGGACUUAGACUGGGGAUGGGUGACUUAAAAAAAAUCUGGAUAGCUGUCACCUUGGCUUCAUUAUGGACAGAAAUAGAGGCAUAUUCAUAAACAAAUUGUUUUAGAUAACUGAGAUGCAAGCGUUGCGCGGUUUUAUUUUCAAAUUUGAUUUUAUUUUAGCAGGCAAGCUCUUUUAUAUUUGAUGACAGUAAAAUCUGUCAAUUAAAAAUAAAGAUCUGCAUUGCAUUGCUGUAGCAAACGAAUAUGGAUAGACUGAGCUGUAGACUAAGUUCUAUUUGAGCCCGUUUUAGCAAUGCAUCUGAAAGGAAGUUGAAUUAUACUAAUCAGCCUGCGCAAUACCCUUGAGGUCUUAGGAUGUGCAAUGAAUCAAUAACCAAGCCUUCAUCGUCACUUUUUUUCCUUAAUUAACUCAGGACCAGAAAAAUCCAUUUUUUAUGAUUAUAAAUAAUUUUUAGAAGCACAAAAUGUGUUUACAACAUGCUGCUAAUGUGCAACAGACUAAGCAAUCUCCACGAGAUGGAAUCCCCCAGCUGAUGAAAAAAAGAUUCGUCUCCUUUAACUCCAUCUCCCAACACUCUCAGCUUGGUCACCAGGACGUACAAGAAGCUGGCUGUCACUACAUCAUCUGCAUGAGCAUUAACUGCUCUUGACAGAUUGACUUCUUCAGCCUGAGCUUUCUUUAAGGGACGACAUGAAGAAGGAAUGCCACUGUGACAAACUCCACAGUGCAGCAACAGAACAUAAAAUAUCAACAGUGUUUUCCUGAUUAACUGCCAAACUUCCAUCGCUUCUGUGGGCGGCAGGUAGGUUGCCUGGACAGGUAUAAAUCUAGCAUUUUCUUGGUGCAUGCUUUGAGUUUUUAUUGAUACAAAAUGCUUG